rnacentral:rRNA from 1 species
UAUACAUGCAGUCGAGCGGAUUUUCUGGAGCUUGCUCCAGAAAGUUAGCGGCGGACGGGUGAGUAACACGUGGGCAAUCUGCCCGUAAGACUGGGAUAACUCCGGGAAACCGGGGCUAAUACCGGAUAACCCUGACUCUCUCCUGAGAGUCAGUUGAAAGAUGGUUUCGGCUAUCACUUACGGAUGAGCCCGCGGCGCAUUAGCUAGUUGGUGAGGUAACGGCUCACCAAGGCGACGAUGCGUAGCCGACCUGAGAGGGUGAUCGGCCACACUGGGACUGAGACACGGCCCAGACUCCUACGGGAGGCAGCAGUAGGGAAUCUUCCGCAAUGGACGAAAGUCUGACGGAGCAACGCCGCGUGAGUGAAGAAGGUUUUCGGAUCGUAAAACUCUGUUGUCAGGGAAGAACACGUACGAGAGUAACUGCUCGUACCUUGACGGUACCUGACCAGAAAGCCACGGCUAACUACGUGCCAGCAGCCGCGGUAAUACGUAGGUGGCAAGCGUUGUCCGGAAUUAUUGGGCGUAAAGCGCGCGCAGGUGGUUCCUUAAGUCUGAUGUGAAAGCCCCCGGCUCAACCGGGGAGGGUCAUUGGAAA